AAAUUGGAAGCGCUUCAAGCAAAGGUUCGAGCUUUUUCUGCAAGCAACGGCAGUCGAGAAGGCCCCGAGAAGUGACUCCUCGAAAGUGGCACUCUUGCUGAGCUUCGCGGGAGACGAAGUGCUCGACAUCUUCAACAACUUUCAGUACGGCCCCGAAGAAAGCAAGGAAUGUUACGACACGGUCGUGCAGAAGUUCGACGCCUACUUCUCCGAGAUUUCAGGCACCUGUUCCAAGGGCUCGGCUGCUUGAAAACUCAGUACAGAAUGGUCCUGGAUCCAGACGCGGUUCCGGUCGUUCAGCCUGCUCGCCGGGUUCCACUUGCACUUCAGGAACCUCUGAAGAAGGAACUACAGCGAAUGACCCGGGAGGGCAUCAUCGUCAAAGAAAAUGAGCCAACCGACUGGUAUAUUCCUGGGAAGCACCUUGUUCUUGCUGACAUGUUGUCCCGGUCAACUG
rnacentral:lncRNA from 1 species